rnacentral:rRNA from 1 species
AGCGAACGCUGGCGGCAGGCCUAACACAUGCAAGUCGAGCGCCCCGCAAGGGGAGCGGCAGACGGGAGAGUAACACGUGGGAACGUACCCUUCAGUUCGGAACAACCCAGGGAAACUUGGGCUAAUACCGGAUACGUCCGAAAGGAGAAAGAUUUAUCGCUGAGGGAUCGGCCCGCGUCUGAUUAGCUAGUUGGUGGGGUAACGGCCCACCAAGGCGACGAUCAGUAGCUGGUCUGAGAGGAUGAUCAGCCUCACUGGGACUGAGACACGGCCCAGACUCCUACGGGAGGCAGCAGUGGGGAAUAUUGGACAAUGGGCGCAAGCCUGAUCCAGCCAUGCCGCGUGGGUGAUGAAGGCCCUAGGGUUGUAAAGCCCUUUCGGCGGGGAAGAUAAUGACGGUACCCGCAGAAGAAGCCCCGGCUAACUUCGUGCCAGCAGCCGCAGUAACAC